AAGUUUUCUCGUGAAGUAUAUAACCGUGACAUAUAUAACCGGCUGUUGAUGAGCUCGGACUCGUUUUUAAGCAGUAUUUCGGUUCAUGACCAAAAAAAGAAAAAAUAUCAAAUCGUUUUCCCCAGACACAAUAAAGAUGUGACAAAGGAAUAGUUUGAGGCCAGCGAAGAUUCUGAAAGCGAAAACUAAUUAACCAAUGAUAGUGUACACACAUUUUAUAAA